rnacentral:rRNA from 1 species
GGUAAUACGAGGGGUGCAAGCGUUAAUCGGAAUUACUGGGCGUAAAGCGUUCGUAGGCGGUUGAAUAAGCAAGAUGUGAAAGCCCAGGGCUCAACCUUGGAACUGCAUUUUGAACUGUUCGACUAGAGUACUGUAGAGGGUGGUGGAAUUUCCAGUGUAGCGGUGAAAUGCGUAGAGAUUGGAAGGAACAUCAGUGGCGAAGGCGGCCACCUGGACAGAUACUGACGCUGAGGAACGAAAGCGUGGGGAGCGAACAGGAUUAGAUACCCUGGUAGUCCACGCCGUAAACGAUGUCAACUAGCCGUUUGUGUCCUUGAGACGUGAGUGGCGCAGCUAACGCACUAAGUUGACCGCCUGGGGAGUACGGCCGCAAGGUUAAAACUCAAAGG